ensembl:lncRNA
AAGAGGCAUUAGUGGAGAAAAGGAGAAGAGGCAGUAGUGGAGAAGAGGAGAAGAGGCAGUAGAGGAGAAGAGGCAGUAGUGGAGAAGAGGCAGUAGUGGAGAAGAAGAGAAGAGUCAGUAGUGGAGAAGAGGAGAAGAGGCAGUAGAGGAGAAGAGGCAGUAGUGGAGAAGAGGCAGUAGUGGAGAAGAGGAGAAGAUGCAGUAGUGAAGAAGAGGAGAAGAGGCAGUAGAGGAGAAGAGGAGGAGGCAGUAGUGGAGAAGAGGAGAAGAUGCAGUAGUGAAGAAGAGGAGAAGAGGCAGUAGAGGAGAAGAGGAGAAGGCAGUAGUGGAGAAGAGGAGAAGAGGCAGUAGAGGAGAAGAGGAGAAGAGGCAGUAGAGGAGAAGAGGAGAAGAGGCAGUAGUGGAGAAGAGGCAGUAGAGGAGAAGAGGAGAAGAGGCAGUAGUGGAGAAGGGGAGAAGAGGCAGUAGUGGAGGAGAAGAUGCAGUAGAGGAGAAGAGGAGAAGAGGCAGUAGUGGAGAAGAGGAGAAGAGGCAGUAGUGGAGAAGAGGCAGUAGAGGAGAAAAGGAGAAGAUGCAGUAGAGGAGAAGAGGAGAAGAGGCAGUAGAGGAGAAGAGGAGAAGAGGCAGUAGUGGAGAAGAGGAGAAGAGGCAGUAGUGGAGAAGAGGAGAAGAGGCAGUAGUGGAGAAGAGGAGAAGAGGCAGUAGAGGAGAAGAGGCAUUACUUUCACUAAAGACAAUUAUUUGCGUUUCCAAGACUACAUUACAGUUGAAUAUGUGCUACAUAACCCACAACAUAUUGUAAUGUAUUAACACAUGAAUCUGAUAAUCUGUGUUGCAUCUGAAUUAUGUUCAGGGCAGAGGAAAACAUACUGAAGCACUCAGCCAGAUCUCAACAAAAUCAGGCCACAAAGUGACUUUUGUGCUUCUAAACUUGUCUUUUCAAUGUGAUUUUCAUAUUCUGAUAGCAGAAGUCGCAUGUAAGUGUCAAGUGUAGACAUGACCUAAGUAGCCCAGAGAGCUUUUGUCAUGUAGGACAGUGUUCUCCAACUGGCGGCUGAAUUUGGGCCGUGUACUGUUUUAUUUUAAAAUCUCUGAAUAUUAUGUUGUUGAACAGAAAUGUAUAAACUGUAAGAUCACCAGGCAAUCAGCUCCAAGUGAUUUUCAUUUAGGAAAUCUGUUCCCAAGUAUUCUCAUGCGUAAUAGAGAGACAUGUGUCUGUGUGUGUCUGUGUGUCUG